rnacentral:lncRNA from 1 species
UAAUAGAUAUUGAUACACAUCCUUCAUAUGAUGCUCCUUAUUGAAAUAUAUAUUCACGUCCUUUGUUCAGGUCCGUAUUUGAUAUAUAUGUGUAUAUGUAACAUGAUCACACAUUAGUAAGGCUUCUGGUUCGCAUAGUUCCCCCGAGGAUUAUAAUUGCAACUAAUGAUGGUUCCACCAUUGUUACACCUCACUUUGGCACAUCCGAGUCUCACUGAAUUUCUCCAAACAACCUGAGUGUAGUGACCGCAAACUCCGUUGCACGUGUUUGAAUUGUAGUUGUAGUUAGCCUUCUCGUUAACCCACAAGUUCACAGCAGCGACGCCAGAAAAGUCACCGCUACUACCGGCCAAGUUCUCCCCGUAAGGCCCACCGGAAUGUACGAGUCUGCAGUCACCUUUUAGCUUCUCUGCGUAGCUCCGAGCGUAGGCUGCAACCCCCUCGUCCCACUGUAUGGGGCCUACGCCUACCUGCGACCGUACCUGGUUGUGAGCAUUUACAUAGUCUUGCUGGCUGUCUUGAGCCUUCGAGGGAAGAACAAGAGCACCUAAAAGGGCUGCCAAGAUUACUAGAAUGCGAGAAUAGCUAGUGACUUUCAUUUUUCUUAGUUGAAAUAAUGGCUAUUUCCAAGCUUUGGUGUGUUAUGAUUUUGGGGUUCGUAAAGAUGGUUUAUAUAGAGAUUUGAAAACUACCUUAGGUUUUGUGUGGCCAUAAACCUUCACCUUUUGAGAUGAGAUAAAACAAACCACAGUGUUUAAUACGGUAACUAGUUGGGAACACCAUAACCCAUAAGUGUAAACUUUUUCUCCCACCUCCAUAUAGAAACAACUUUUUUUUUAUUAGAAUAUAAAAUUAUAUUCAAACAAAAAAAAAUUUGUUACAAUAAAUGCUUCAUAGAGAAUUCAGUUUUAGAGAUGAUGAUUUGAAAUCAAACACAAAAAAUUAUGAAUGAGUUUGGAACCAGAGUUGGAUCCCUCCUUCAAACCCACUUUGGUGUCGGAGAAGGAUGAGCUUAUUGCGGAUGUUUUUUUGGGGUUUUUAGUAAAGUAGACACUUUUCUAAAAGUUAUUUGAGAAGUAUGUAGUUUUUUUAGAAAUAGGAAGAAUAGACACUUUUUUUGCUUUUGUGAGAUAGAAGAUAUGUGUAAUAGAGUAAAUGACAAAACAAGUGUCAAAUACAAUUCUACCCUUUGUGUUGUGAGAAAGAACUUUUGAUGUGGGUCCAAAUUUUUAGGAAUAAUAGAUCAAAUACUAUUUUUUAGGAAUAAUGGAUAAAAUUAUUUUUUUAUUUUCUUUAAUUUGUAUAUUUCUCUAUCACAAACAUUAUAAAUAACAUUUUGUAUACUACUGUUUGUACACCCGUUUAUACACUAAUGUUUGUACACCCGUAAUUUACAAUAAUGUUUGUACACCCAUUUGUACACUAUUUAAUUGAAGUAAUGUUUGUACAUUCAUACGUAAUGUACACUAAUGUUUGUACACCCGUUUGUACAUUAUUCAAUUGAAGUAAUGUUUGUACAAUCAUACGAAAUUUACACUAAUGUUUGUACACCUGUUUGUACACUAAUAUUUGUACACUUGUUUGUACAUUAAUCUCGUACACUAUCAUUUUUUACAUUAACACUUAACAAAAAUGGUUCUCUCAUUCUAGACGUGGUGUACAAAAUAUGUGAAAGUGUACGAUGUUGUAGACGGUGUAGAAGGUGGUGUAUGGUGAGAUCUAUUAUCUCAUCGUUUCAUGUACACCAUUAAUAUCAUGUACACCAUACAUCGUAUUAUAUAGUUGUACACUAUUAUAGAUUAUAGUUUGUACAAUGUCAUAUCCAGUAUAUCAACUCUUACAUCAUGUGAGUAUCAUAAAUUAAUUUUUACAUUAUCGUAGUACACUACCGUUUGUACACUAUCUUUACAUUAUCACGUACACCGUCGGGUUGAGAUUAAAUAUAAAAAUUGUUAUGUAUUCGAAAAAUAUAGCAAAAUUUGACUUUUUAGAUUCAUAAAAAAAAAAAAAAAAAUUUUAUGAAGAAUUUUUAUCAAAACAAAGUGAAAUUAUUUAAGUGAAAGAGAAAAAUAAAAGCUUUUGACUAAGUCAAUUAUGUCAUUAUGUGAGUACAAACAAAAAAGGAUAAAUAUGUCAUUUACUAAUAUCUCUAUUAGAGAGAAAGAUAUAUUAGAGAGGAAAGAGAAAAGUGUCUACUUUUCUAAUUUUCAAAAAAGUACCUACUUUACAAAUUAUUAGUGGAAAAAGUGUUUACUUUACAAAUUUUCUCAUGUAUUUUUUCAAUGAAACGACUUGGAUUUGUAGCCGAAAUCGCUGGUUCGCCAUAGAGACUAUGAAUUGUAGCAUGUCAUAUAGAAACAACUUUUUAAAAGAAACAUCAGGAAAUACAAAAAUAUAUAAUCAAGUUUAACAAAUUUAAACCACGAUUCUUAAAACUUAUCGAAAACUUUAAUUUUGGAUCAAUUCAGCAAGAGAUAUUCAACGAAAACCAAACCAAAGUUUUAUAUUUUCGAAUUCAACCGACCCAAAGUUCAAAAAAUUGUGAACAGACCAAGGCCGAAUUGCCCGGAUGCCCAACAUUAUAUAAUCUCUUCAAUUUAAUACAUAAUCUGAACCAAAGUCCACAAAAAUAAUUUUUCAGCCUAAACUUUUAGAGAAGAAAUACUCAUUAUCCCAAACCUUGACUGAAAUUUUUAAUAUCAUCUGAACUUUUUUACUCAACAAACCGAAACCAAACCCAAAUUUUCUGAUAAAUCCUGAUAAAAAUUUAUUGACAAUGAAUAUUUUCAAGUAAAUAUAAAAAAUAUACUUUAAAAUGAGUAAAGAAAUUCAACGGGUAAAGAUUGUUUUUCAACUACAACAAAUUGUGCGGUGCGUUUUUAUACCUAACUGUUGUUUCCUAGAUCAACGUCUAAAAUAUUCAAAAAAAUUACCUAGACUCUUUAAUUUGUAUGUACAACAAAGUUGACUUAAAUACGAGUUAGUCAACUACUGACUCAGCUGACACGUUACGUUGGCAAUGACGUGUUAUUUUUUAAAUAAAACGAUGUUGUUUUUUUUUUUUGGUAGGAGAUGGGGGACUAGUCCCCCGUUUAUUAAAAAUUAAAAGGAAAAAUUACAAACGGACUUGUCGUGGGCGCGUAGACCCUAUGACAUCGUCACUAAACAAAGAAUCCACUACAAUAGGCACAACAUCGAAAAAAUGAAAGCCAACCGGCAAAGAGAACGCAUAGUUCGCUAACCCGUCCGCAAGACGGUUAGCCUCCCUAUACACGUGUGAAAUUCGGACUAUCCAGUCCCUCGAUAAAAAGACAUGGCACAAACGUACCAGGAAUCGUUUUAAAGCUAAACUAUAAUUAAUAAAGAUUUUUAUAAUUAAAAAUGUGAAAAUAUUAGAUCUUAAGUCUUAACAGAUAUUUUUACAAAACAAACAAAAUUAUUAUAUUUCAUCACCAUCUCCGAAAUUACAUCUUUCUAUCAAACGUCCAUUUCUCUCUUCUAGUUGAAUUUGGUUUUAAAAACUUUUCUGAUUUUAUGAUUAAGACUCUGAUCUUUCUAAACGAAGUUCUUCAAAUUAGCAGAUUUCACGAGAAGGGAUGCUCCAUAUUUUGUGAACAUAGAUUUAGAUAACCACUCACUUGUGUAAUAUUAAGAUUUUUUUUUUGAGAAUCUAUCCAAGCACAUAUGACAGGAGAAAUAUAUUUAGGAUUUUUCAUGCUAUGAACUAGGAUAGAUUUUACAUUUUUUAAUUAGAAAAAUCAUUAAUAUGUUUAGUAUUAAGACGACUCAAAACAAUGUCGGUUUGAGUUUAAGGACUCAAAUGAUCAAGCGGUUGACUAACUCAUAUUCAUGUCAACUUUGUUUUAGGCACAAAAUAAAGAGUUUGCAUAAUGUUUUUGAAUUUUUCAGGAGUCGACGUAGGAAACAUCACUGAGUCUCUGUUAAGGUAUAAAAACGGAUCGCGCAAUUUGUUGGUAUUAAAAAUACCAUUUUCCCCAAAAUAAGCCCCCCACUUUUCUUAAAAUGCUUUAAGAACCUAUUUAUUUAUUUAUUAUUAAAUAUUAAAUUUAUUGAUAGAAUUAAAAUGUGAUUAUGUACAUGAAAUUAAAACCAAAGUAAAAGAGCCAACAUGAGCAGCAGUGACCGAAUUUCUCUUGCUAGAAACCAUCUUUGGAGAAGGUUUCACAACUUAGGAGAUUCUUUUAGGUAAAUCUUCAGUUAGGAGAUUCUUCCGAAAACUUGAAUAAAUUCUGAUCCUAAAUAAGAUUCAACUAUAGUUCUAACUCAGUUUGACAUGACACAUACAAAAGAAAACUGAAUGCACAAGCCUAAAAUAUUCGGUAAUUUACACAACAAGAUAUAGAAUGUAAAUGAAAGUAUUUAAAGUGAUUAUAAUACUAGUAAUUGUGUCAAUUAAAAUGAUUAUAGUUUAGUUUUAUCAGAUCCAUGAAAAAAAAGAAAUUCUGUUAUAAAAAUGAUUCAUUAGUUUUAGGUUCUGAAAUAAACCGAACCGCUGGCCGCAUUAAACCAUGAUGAUUUUUUUCACCGUAUCAACCAAAUUGGCCAAAUUUUUGGCUCACUUCAGUUUUGCUAAUUUUGUUUAAUUUAUACUUAACCCUAAGAUUAUACGUAAGUGAUUAUCUAUGUGGUGUUGGAGUAUAGAAUGAAAACAAUUAAAAAUCAUGAGCACCCUAAAAAUUCUUUCCAUGCUUGGUUUUUAUAUGUUUUAACAAAAUGCCUUGUUUGAAAAGUUGCUAGGUGCUAGUCGGGCGCUCGAUAUGGGCCUAGCGAUUAAUCGGAAAAUCAGAUUAAAAUCAGGGAUUAAUCGAAGAUUAGUUUUAGGGUUAUUUUAAUAUUUUAAAAAUAUAUUAAUCCAAUAUUGUUUUCAAAAUUGUAUCAAACACAUAAAACUGUAUUUUUUGAGGUAAAUUUUUAUGAUUUUUAUUACUAAUUUAUGAUUUUUAUUAAAAUUUGAACACAAGUUAUUGUAAAACAUCACAAACUUCCAAUUUAAAUGAUUGAACAACAAAAAAUAUAUAUAUAUUUUUUUAUACUUGCAAUCUAAAAAUAAUCGGGGUUUGUAAAAUUAGGAGGAGAGUAAUCGGAUUAGGCGGGAAGUAAUUGGAUUAGGCGGAAAGUAACUGGAUUAGGCGGAGACUAAUCGGGUAACUGAUUUCUUUAGGGAAUUAGUCAUUAAUCGAGACGGAUAUGAUGGGCCUAGCGAUUAAGUGGGGAGUAAUCGGGUUAGGCCGGGAUUUUUAGAACGGGACAAAAUAUAUCAUACCUGUUACGUUCUUUAAUGUUUGUAGUUAUUUUUAUUCUUCUCACAAGGUGAGUAUUUUCAAACCCAUAAAAAUGUAAGUUCUUAAAAGUGGGGCCUUUCUUUCUUUACUCAUUUUUUUGUCUCCAUUAUUAGACCUGGGCAAAAAAAACCGGACCCGAUACCCGAAUCGAUACCCAGAUAAAAAAAACCGAGUUGGGGCGGGUUAGGGUAUUAGGAAAUUACCUCAUUGGGUAGAGUUUUGGUCUACCCGUGGGUAUCGGUUCGGGUCGGAGAAUAUCCGUUACCCAUUUAGGAUACCCAUAAACCCAAAGUUUUUAGACAUGUGUUUAUAUAUGUAUAUAGAUAUAUAGUUAUAUAGUCAUAUAGCCCUAGAUUUUGAGUUUUGACGAUUGAGUUUCCUAAUUUUCUUCUAGAAUCCCUAUACCUUUGAUAAUUUCUGCUUAAAAUUCCCUUUUGAGUCUCAUUAUCGAAACUGGAAACCCUCAUCGCGACAUUCUCGGCGACCUUACCGUCACCGAACAUUUCGAUGUCAUGUGAUUUUGGAUUGGAUUUACUCUUAACACUUAAGACUUAAGUAGUCAUCUUUGUGAUUUUAUAUUGGAUUUAGUCUUUAGAUGUCAUAUUUGAUGUUCUGUUCUCUUUAUUUGAUUAUUGAGCAUGUACAAUGAUUUAAAACUUCGGGUAUUGGAGUCAUAUUUCGGGUUUAUGCGUAAUUUUAUCUAUUUAGACCCGAACCCAAAGGAGACCCAAAUUUUUCGAGUUUUUUUCGGUUCUCAUGCUUUUUUCCCAAACCGACUCGAACCCGAUGAUAUCCGAACUAGACCAAAACCGGAUAUUUAGAAAUAGUCAAAUGGGCCAUAAAUUCAUUACCCAUUCAACCCGAACCUGAACGGAUUAUCCAUAUGCCUAUCCAUUAUUGUGUUAUAAAACUUUCUAACUCUACUACUAAAAUAUGUAUUGAUAUUGCAUGUGGACAUAUUCAAAACCCCAUUUGGAAACCACAUGAUUAAAUCUAUCGUAUCAUUUGUGUUUUUGCGAGAAGAGAUAUAGGCGAUUAUAAAUAAAAAAACGAAAGACAGUUUUAAAGUGAAAUGUAUUGAAAAUAGUUUUUCAUGCAUGUAUAUAUUUCCUACCGUCUUGUUUAUGUUUGAUUUAUAAAUAUAUAUAUAUAUAUAUAUAUAUAUAUAUAUAUAUUUAUUUAUUUAUUUAUAUUUCACAUUUAAGAAAACUAGUAACAUAUGGAAAAAUAUCAGACAUAUUUAUCGACAAGAUAGCAACAUGAAGAGUGGAAAAUAAAAAGAUAGCAACGUGAAGCCUUCCUUAAUAAUUUAUCAAAAAAAAAAACAAAAAAGUAAAAAGAAAAAAUCGUAAAUCCAUGGAGGAAAAAAACAAAUCUAUCUUGACUUGUUAACUAGAAAAGUCCUUGAGACCAAUAAUUCCAUGGUUAUCAUGACUUGCUUCUUGCAGCUGUUAUGCAAUAAUUAAAGCUGCUUCUUGAUUGAUAUUGGUAAAAUUAGGCAAAUAUGACAUAUUAAUUAUAUAAAAAAAAAAUGAAUGGCGGCAAAGUGAGUCUUCUAGUGUUUCUUUAAUUUUUGGUUAUCAAAUACCUUAGACCAUACACAAUGGUACAAUCUUUGGUUGGGUGUGAGUAAUAUAAAAAUGAGAAAAAAUAGAAAAGUUGUGUAGAAAUUGUAUGUUGGGUGUAAGUUUACACUUGGGUGUGAGUAUUAAAAUAAAGAGAAAUAUUGCACUCUCUCUAUCUCUCUCUAUCUCUCUCUCUUUUCUCUCUCUCUUUAAUUAUAAUAAUAAAAAAUUAUUCACACCCACAUUCACACAUGUGCCAUUGUGUAUGCUCUUAUAGUUUAUUCAAAAAUUUUUAAUCAUAAUGUAAUUAUACAACAAUAAUUAGAUGCUAUUUACAAAAUUAAAAUUAUAUAAUCAAUUAUUAAAAAAAAAUAGUCACGAAGAAUAGAAAGUCUUUUAAUGUUUCUUGUAUGUAUCUCUCCCAGACUCCCACUUGGUUAACAUACACUACAAAAAAAAGGCUAGGUUGCAUCACUUAAAUUGCAUCAAAAAGUUAAACGAUACUAAUUUGAGUUACUUAUUAAUAAUUGAUACAAAAAAUAUAAUUUAACAUCAAUUGUUGUAACUGAUGCUAUUGUUAAUUUAUGUGGCAUCAAUUCAUUAAAAUUGAUACAAAUCUAGAUCAAUUUGUAUCAUUUUUACAUAUUGAUACAAAUUUAUAAAUUCACAUCAUUUAAACAAUCGAUGUAUUUCUUAAUUUAUAUUAACAUCACUUGAAAAAUGAUAUAAUUUUUAAUAAGUUUACACUAAUUACGUUAAAACUAAUUUUGUGGUUUAACAUCCACUGAUCAUGCAUCCUCUAUUUAUUACUAAAUCUUUAAUUACACAAAACAAAAUUUAGACGAUCAUAAAAAAAAAUUCUCUUUUCUUUUUGAAUUUUUUCAUUGGCCGCCUCUUUUUUUGUUUCCUCAGUUUAAAAUCUUAGUUGGAAAUAAAAUAUCUAUUUUCCUUUUCACCAAAACUAAGUAAAUCAAAAUACAAAUCUCUCCGGAAUCUUAACUUCUUUAAUCUACAAAAUCUACACUUUCUUUGCCAAAUACAAAUAUCUAAGAUAUAUAUUUUUUUUGUUAAUAACUUCUUCUCGCCAAGAUGAUUACUUUAAGAAGCAGAGGUUUGGUGGCUCGUCUUCUUCGCAAAACUGUAGGUCACUUAAUGUUCUAAAUUUUGUUUGGGUCAUUCAAUUUACAAAAGUAAAAGGCUAAAAGCUACUCAUAGAAUAAAUCUACGACCACAAGAGUUUGUGGCUUUAGAAAUAUGUGUCUUUUCAAAGAUUAAUUAGAAGUUCUAUUUUGUUAUCUCUUUGAUUUUAUGCUGAUCUCCAUACUUAUUUUGUGCUGUUUUGAUCCAGUCUUUUAUCAUCAAGGCGUUGAAGGACCCGGAAAGAAACAGAAAGACGGUUAAGAAAAUAAAGCACACGGACGAUGAUGUUACUGAGGUUGCUAGGAUUAUGAGGCCCAUGAGGAUCUGACCGUGAGGAUCGUGAAGAAGAUUUAGAGAUGCAUGGGAUGCACCAUUGAUGAAAAAGACCCAAAAGAUUUUUCAGCAUGAAUUCAAGGAUGUGAUCGAGAUUGAUAUUUCUGAGAAUUAAUUAAGGAACAAAAGUAGUUUAUGGUUUUAGAGUUUGUUUUUGAAUUUUCAACAAUGUAAAGUUGUAAACGUGUAAACGUGUUUUCUUCCAUGAAAUUAAGUUUUUGUUUUUAAUUUUAUUUUAUUAAUAUUAAUUUUAUAUAUUAUUAUUUUAUUGAAAAUGAUAUCAUUGCUAUAUUUGUUCAUGAAAACUGAUAUUAAAUUUAACAUCAAUUAUUUAUAAUUGAUAGAAAUAUUUAACAUCGAUUAUUACAAAUGAUACAAUUAUUUGUAUCAGUUAUCAAAAAUGAUAUUAAUCUUAACAUCACUUACUAUAACCGUAACAAAUAAUUACAUCAUUUUUAUUAACCGAUGCAAAUUUAACAUCGUCUCUUGCAAAUGAUACAAAACAACAUCAAUUAUAAUAAUCGAUGCAAAUAUUUGAUGCAACCGAUUCAAAAUAUUUGCAUCACCACUUUCAGAGUCACUUUUAUAAGUGAUGCAAAACUUAUUUGCAUCAUUUAUAAGUAAUGUAAAUAUACAAAAUAAAUGACACAAAACACCUCUUUUUUUGUAGUGAUAUGACGUCAUUUCUAUGACGUAAGCCGAAACAGUAACAUCGGAUACUAUAAGACACAUUCAUAUAUAUGGCCAAAGAUGACCGGACCAUUAUCCAUGAGACAAUAAAACAAAAGAAAUUUUCACGUUUGGGUUGGAAAAAAGAUUUUGUCUCACAGUUUGGCAAAGUGAGAUUUCAUUCUCAUGUUUUGACAGUUAUAACAUUUUUUGACGAAAAUGCCCCAAACAAAUUAAACCAAACCGCACAGUUACUGACCGGUUUAGUUUCUUUUGAUUUUUGUUGCGGUUUAAGAAAAAAAAAAAAAAAAACUGUCAAAGAAAACGAAGAAGAAGAAGGAGAGAGAGACGGAGAGAUUCGAGAGAGAAGUUGAAAUCAGUUCGAAAUUCAUUCAUCCAUCUUCGUUUUUCAACAUCACCGUUCGAAUUGUUGGAUACUUGAUUUGAGGCAUCGCAUUGAACUCCAAAAACCGGCGAAUAGAAAGUUGAAGUUUUUCCGGCGAAGACGACCUGAGAAACCUCCGGCGAGAUAGAAACCUUCGAGAUGGCUGGGAAUAAACAAAACGACGAAGUACCGAGGAAGCAGCAUACGCGGGAAGGCCCCGAGAAGGAGAAGCGGGUACUCAGAGUAUCCCCGAGGAGGAAACUCUCUCCGACAAAGCCGCCGGAGGAAUUGGGUAAGUUCUGAUAUUAUUUCGUUUGUAGUUUCUUUGGGUGUAUCGGAAUCUUAAAGCUUGUUUGAUUAAAGGGAUAGAAGUUGCCGGAUUUUGCUAAAUAUGUAGUUUGAAAAUUUGAGAAGAUGAAUUGGAAAUCUCUUUUUCCGCCAAAAUUCAGAUGUUGAGUAUAUAAUGUUGAUAAUUACUGUGUACGUACACGAAUUUGUAUUGUUUACAUCCUUACUUAAUUGUAUAUUACUUGUAAUUGCAGGCAGUACAAGCGUGGCUCCGACUGAAGAUCUUAUAGUUGAAGAGUUACCACCUAGACUCUUUGCCCUAGACCGGUACCCUGUGAAGACGAAGAUGAACGCGUACUCCAAACCGGAGUACCUUUCUGACAUAGCGCAAGUUCUUAAGGGAAAAGAGGAGAUGAAGUUUCUUCUCGAGUCUCCAUUUGGGGACCUUUUUAGGAUACCUGCUAACAAGUCUUCCUUCUCAGGUAAGCUUGUUCUUGGACUAAUAUGUCGUCAGUUAGUGACGAGUAAAGUGAAUGAGAUGUGGAUGGUCUUCGGCGGUCAUCCAAUAAAAUUCGGAUUAAGAGAAUUUAGUCUGGUAACUAGUCUAGAAUGUGGGACAUAUCCCAACAAGAAAGACGUGACGGAUGUGCUAAAGGUCAAAGCUGGGAGUCAAAGUGUCUGGAAAACUCUGUUUGAGGAGAAGUUUGGGGAGAAGCCGAAUCCAACAGUGCAUGAUUUGGUGGUCUAGCUGAAGGAGGAGGAAACCAUGGAUGGGUGGAAGCAGCUGGCCUUAUCUCUUAUAAUCUUGGUAGAUGGUGUGAUAGGGUGCCAUAAUAACCCCAUAAGGCCUUCUGAGUUCAUUGUUGAGAUGACGAAGAACGUGCAAUUCUUCUGCAAAUACCCUUGGGGAAGGGUGUCUUUUACCCGUACUUUGGAGAGGAUAUCAAAAUUCCAAACCCCUUCAGAUGCUCAAAAACUGAUAAGGUGUGUAAAGGAUGGGUCUUAUGCACUACAUGGAUUCCCAUUAGCACUCCAGCUGUUUGCGUUCGAAACAAUCCCAUCCCUUGCUAAGCUAGUACCUGAUGAUGAAGCUAACAGGACAUUUACUCAGAGGUCUAUCCAUCAUCUUGCCUCACUGCGGGCAAUCAGGACAUCCAGCAUCUUGGAGUGUGAGGCUGCUAAAGAGGUAUGUACAAUUGUUUAUGUACGUACAUUAUUUAAAAAGUAAGUGUACAUUCUCUAAGUGGUUAACAAACUUAUUGGUGUAGGUUGAGGUAACCUAUCUUGUGAAACCAGAGGACAAUAUUUGUCCUCCAUCCCUGUCAUGGGAUGAUGAAGUUGAGGAUCCAAGAGUUACUUACAUUGAGCGACUGUUGUUAGCUGGUCAUGAGUGGAAGGAGGAAGAAUGGGUUGGAGGUUAUGCUGCAUUUCCAAAGCAGGAGCGCCCACCACAACUUGGAGAGAUACGUGAGUGUAAAUGUUGUUUUUAUACUUUAUGAUUAUUGUCUCUUGAAGACCAAUCAAUGAUUAAACUGGUCUAUCGUAGGUGUGAAGAAGAGGAAAAGAAAUGUACCAGCCCCGAAUGCACCUGCUUUGAAAAAACAGAAAUCUGUUGUGGAAGAAAAAAAUGAGGACACUGUUGAGGAUUGUUCUGAAGAUCCCUAGUUUGAGAAGUUUGUAGUUGAACUUAGGAGGUGUUUCAAGAGGCAAGAAGCACAAAAUAAACAAAUGCAAGAAGACUUGAAGAAAUUUGUCCGUAAGGAGAUACGUGCUGCCUUAGAUCCAAAGGGCAAAAAGACAGAACCAACCAAAACUUCCAAUGCUUCACAGGGCCCAAAUAAAUCGGUGGUUAAGGCACCGAUGAGUGUGAAGAAGGCAUCUAAAAGGAUGUCUACAAAGAAAGUCUUCAAGUCUGGAACAAGAAAGUCUUCAAGGCUGAAGAAUAUAAUGACGUCAGUUGCGGAGAUUACUCAGCUUUCUGAUGGUAACUCUUCCUCUGAGGAAGAUGACCAGGUAUGGCAUGUACGUACAUUUAUAUAUAGUAUUUUAAAUGUACGUACAUGAAGAUUAAUAACUGUAACUUGUCUGCUAUGGUACAGGAUGAAGCCAACAAUGAAGGUGGUUUUACUGCAAAUGAUGGAGGAGAUUUUUCGAAUAGAGACGAAGAUAUGGUUGACACUGGAGUAGCUAACAUUUCAGUUGGUGGACCUACACCUUCCCAUCAGGUAUGUCGUGUACAAAUAUUUUUAUCAAUUAUUUCCAGUUGUGUACGUACACAUAGGCUUCAGAAGUGUAUGGUAUACUAUGUUUCAGGAUGAAGGAGCACGUGAUGGUGGUGAGUCUGUCCUUGUUGUUACACAGUCAGGGACCGAGGAAAAAGCUAGUGCUGACACAGAGAUGGAAGAAAUUCUAUCUCCUGUACCUUCAACCUCUGUACAGGUAUGUCUUGUGCUAAUAGUCACAUACUGUUUUCCAUAAGUGUACGCGUCUCAAUUAUUUUCAGUUCUCCACGUACAUAUAGCUUAAGAAGUGUAUGGUAUACUAUGUUUUAGGAUAAAGGACCAAUUGAUGGUGGUGAGCCUGUCGUAGUUGGUACACAGCCAGGGACAGAUGAAAAACCAACUGCUGACACAGAGAUGGUAGAAAAUCCAUCAGGUUUACCUGCAACAUCUGGACAGGUAUAUGGUCUGCUAAUAGUCAAAUGUAGUUUUCCAUAUGUGUACUCACAUAAAGCUUAAGACGUGUAUGGUAUAUUUGUUUCAGGGCGAAGAACAUGGUGCCGGUCUUGAGAGUGAAGCAAAGGUUGGGGAGCAACCAGAAAUUUGUGAGGAUAAUGAUAGAGAUACAUCUUCUCAGGCUGAACACACCGAGGAACCCGGUGUAAGUGUACGUACAAUUGUCUUUCUUAUUUCCCGUGUACGUAUAAGUAAUGAUUGUUUCAGACAUCACAAAAUAGAGGAUAUAGCCGAUGAAGUUGAUAACUACUGCCACAGGUUGAUGCGGGAGAUGUACCCAAUGUAGUUCCAGAGAGUAAAGUGGAUGACUCAGUACUUGAGGGCACCCUAGGGGAUCCCCCUUCACCAUUUGCAGUAGUUAAUAAUGUAAGCUAACUAUAUUUUUAAAUAAAAUAGUGUAGGCUUGUUUAAAUUUAUAAUCUUCUAUUAUGCAGGUGUUACAGGAGUUGGCAACGAAAGCCUCCAUGGAUGUGGAUGCAGCUAAUGUAAAGGAGGUAAAAAUCUCGUGUUUGGUUUAAAAUUAUACACAGUUAUUAACAUACGUACAUAGGAUUGUAUGCGUACAUUUAAAUAAUUCUGCACGUUAAUUUGAAAAGGGAGUGUUGGAGCAGCAGGGGAUUGUCGACGAGGUGGAAGAACAAGAGGAUUCAAACCCUGGGUUAGAUGAAGCAGACACGACAGUUGGUACACUGGAAAAUAUUGUGAGUAUCUUCCCAGUAAAUAUUAUCAUUACAUUUUGAAAUUGUUUAAUCAUGGUGUUUACAAUAAUACUUCUUUACAGGAUGAACCAAACAACAAUGCUGCACUCGAAGCAAUAGCAGUUAAAAUUCCUACGCCGGUUCUACCCAAAAAAGUGAAGAAGCAAAUAAUUUUUGAGAUGGAUGAAGCCCUUCCAGAAGGUUUUAAGGAAACAACGGUCCUCGUGGAGGAUGUUCCUGGACGAGCUGAAGAUUCAGAGGUGGUUAUAGCGGCUGGAAAUGUCCCUUACAACCCCUUGGAGAAGGUUGACGCUUCCAAAUUAGAGCUCUUAACCAAUGUCCUCCGCGGUCCGAAUGUGUUAGUAUCGUGCAUUAUCAAAAUUAUCCCUUAAUUGAUACAUUGGUUUUCUAUAACAACCAGUCAUACUAUAAUAUUGGAUAUACAGGAAGCACACUCUUUUCGGGUAUCGCAAAGUGGACAACGAGUUUUUCUCCAUGCUUAUAGCACAAGGACAGUGGGUGGAUAAUAUGGUAAGUUGAAAUAGUACAUUUGUGUAUAUUUUUAAAAUAUUCCUGAAGUGUACGUACACUGACUGUCUAUGCUAUUAUCAUUUCAGGUCUUGGAAAUGCUCGCAAUCUUGAUGUGGCACAAGAACGGUCAACAAAUGAUAGCAAACCGAUGUGUUGUUUUGGACUCCUUCCUGCUUUAUGAGCUUACUAAGCGUGCUGUCAGCUUCAGGAAUUGUAUAAAUAAGCUUGGGUUCAAAUGGGGCGACCGGCUAUACGACAUGGCCAAUGGAAUACACAUACACCGUGAACCUAGUCUUAAGUGGUUCAAGGAUGUCGACGUGGUAUAUGCUCCGAUGAACUGGAAAGGUGAUCAUUGGGUUGGGUUGGUAAUCCACCUCAGAGCCCGGCAUAUAGUUGUCUAUGACGCUCUCAUAGAACACACGCGGGAGUCUGUUGCAUGGUCAAAGAUGCAGCCUGUCUGCGAGAUGAUGCCGUACCUAGUGAGAGCGAUGUGCGCGGAUGUAUUGCCUGAGAAGUACUCAGUUGAACCUUUUGCCUAUGAGAGAAAUGUUAUGGUCGCUCAAAACCCAAGUACAGGAGAUUACGGCCCUUACGCAAUGAAGUUCUUGGAGUUGCUGGCGUUUGGUAACCCAAUGUCAGACUUGGUGAAUAUUCAAGAAGCAGAUAUGGCCACAUACCGUCAGGUGUACGCAACAGAAAUCUACGAGCACGGCAAGCGCGAGUGUGAUAAUCGGCGUUUAUUGUAAUCAUCCCUGGAUGUUGAAUUAUUAUUAUUUCCUAGUACUUAUUUCCUUAUUUUCAACAACCUAAUUAGAACAACGUAAUUAAUUAUGGAGAUCCUAAAAAUAUUUAUGUAAUCGUUAUAACUAUCUUCUCUAAACAAUCUGCACAUCGUACACUUAUUCAAAAACCAACAUGUGUACGUACAUCUUAUAUAACGUACGUCUUUUACACAAAAGUCGAUUUUUCUCAUAAUAAGAUAUCUAUUUCUUUACUUACAUUGAUUUGACAACCCUCCCUCACUGCAUCAUCACUUACGUAAGAUUGCAUUAACUACAACCAUAACUUAACCAACUAACUUCAUUGUUCUUUAUUUAAGAGUAGGAAUUGAAUUGUUUUGAAACACCAAAUUCCAAGAAAUGUCUACACCAAAUCUACCUGAAGAUUUGCUAGCCAAGAUAGCCAAAAAAAUUGCUGACAAAUGUUGGUGGUACCUCGGACCUCUGUUAAGAUCAGGGCGUGGUGGAAGAAACAUUGUCUACAGGCCGGAUGUCCUGAAAGAUGCUAAUAUUUAUAGCAUGUGCAGUGAUCCCGAUGACUUCCAUGCGGCAGGCCAUGAUCCGAAUGACAUCAACGGUGAAGGUCGAUAUAGACCCUUUUUCAAAAGUUGUCUAGAGGCUGGUAACCCGAUUGCUAUCUACCAUGAAGGACUGCGUCUAGUUACCCAUGAGUCUGACAUUAAGGGCGCCAUUGUACUUUUACAGCGGAAUGUACCAAGGCACGCCGAUGCAACCCUGGCCUGCGCUAUUCUGUGCAUAUGCGACGGGAAUGCUCACAUGGGUGGUGUGUACCUACGCCUGUUCGCAAACAACCAUUACGCUUUGGAAUCAGAAGAAACACGUGACAUGUGUGAGGAACUCCUAGAAGAAAUAAAAAAAUAUGGAAUUAGGUUAAACAACACAUACGGCGCAACCUUUUCGUACCCUGAGGAACGUGGUAUUCAAACGCCUCCUUGCGCGAUGUUGUGUUACAUCAGAUCUGGACCCUUCAAGAAUGUGUGCAACGUAUGUUACCUCUGGUGGUGUGCGAGAAGAAUUAGUCAAAUUCUCUAGGCAUUUCUUACGUAAUAUUAUCUGAAUUUCUAAGUUUUUAUGUUAUAAUAUGUGGCUUUUGCAAUUGUACUUUGCUUAUCAGUAUACAUGUCUUUUUAUCUACAUCCUUGCUUGUUUCUCAUAUAAUACUCAAUCUUAUGAAUGGUAACAAAUAAUUGUAAUAUUUUAUAGUAAAUUGAGAAACAAGUUUUUUAAUGUUAGAUAAUGGUGUCUUGUCUACACAGGCUUACGAAUUAUCAUUAAAUACAUACUGACCUGAUUUAGCCAUUGAUAAUGACCUCUAUCUUUAAAAAAAAAAAAUAUAUAUCUCCAUAUAUGUACACUGUCUUUUGUCAGAUAAAACAAAAUUGCAAAAGAAAGAUAUUUGGUUUUUAAUGCGUUUCCCCCAUAUUUAGCCAUAUACAUGAACUCAAUCUUUUCUCCCUAAUUCGGCGACAGACAUCAACUCAAACUUUUGGUCAGAGAACGUAAUAAGGGUAGACAUACGUACACGGGUAGACGUUACUGUGUACAAUUAUUUUAGUUGGUUUGAAACUAGAAAUAUGAGAAGCGACUUUCGAGAUGGUAGUAAAUGAUGAUGCAAUGCUGAUUGAUUUGACCUGUAAUAACCCAUAUCUACAAGUUUUGGAGUGGUUAUUUAUUGCAUACUGUCAAGCUCUAUUCAUAGAAAUGACCUCUAUCUUUUCGCAUAAAUCUCCUUAAUAUACGUACACGGUUUGCAAUUAAUGUACACUGGCAUUUGUCAGAUAAGAGGAACUUUAAAAUAAUGACACUUUUUUAAUGCGUUCCCCCCCCAAAUGUAGCCAUAUACAUGAACUCAAUAUUUUCCCUCUAUUUAAACGAUAUCACACACACUAAUUUAUUUGCUCACAUUCUUCUAAAACCUCCUUCAUUCAUCAACUGCAAGAUUAUUUCUAAACCUCCUUUGUUAAAAACAUGGCUUUCCCCGCAACCCCUCCAACCGAGAUGUACCUUGCAAUACAAUUGCCAAACCCAAUUUUCGUCCUCAUCAACUACCUGCCCGUAUCCCAGACUCCCAUCGAGACCCUCCGCCACUUGGUCGAAGCAAGUGACGUAAACGCAAUAGUGAUGGACGACUUCAUCACAUGGCCUCACUUCGUGCAGCCGGAGUCUCCCUUCAGGGCCUACUUCAGCCUCUUGCUGGAAAGGGGUACGAUCCCGGCUAUAUACCUCGAAGGUGUCCGCCAGGCAAGCAGCUUCCUAACGCCCACGGCAUUACACUACUCAACUCCGUCGCUCCAUCCAACCCUCUUGCCUGCUUCGCGACCGGCUUAUUCCUAACUUGUACUGGCAACCAUGUCGACUUUCUUCAAGUCAGCGAUAUGUUCUGGGCGAUGACACCCACAUUAGCGGCAGCUCACGCAGUGGGGGAGCUGGUGAUGUAUCACAUAAGCCAGCUUCACAACAAAGGUCCUCGGCUCUGGCAACGUUCAUGGAGGUAUGUGCACACACCGGCAUGUGUUGGCCUUUGCACGUACAGUUCCGGCUGUAGAGGGUGUUUCUUUUACUGGUACGCGAGGGAGAUGUGUGUCUUCUAUUAGAUAUGACUUUGAUAAUGACGGAUGAGGCAUACAAUUUUCCGGCUCAUGUGUAUGCUUCGGGCUCUACUUUUUAGUUUAUUGCUUCCGCAUCUAAUAUAUGUUGUUUGUCUUUCUUGAUUGUAUGUCCUUCUUCGGGCACUUAAUUAUGAAUGAAUGAAGUUUUUGUUGUUUGAGGACAACAAUUAUGAUAUAUGUAUGUUUUCGUGUACGUACACGGAUUUCGUACAAUUUGCUGAUUGAAGAACCAAAAAGCUAGUAAAACGUACACUGGCAAAUUAAUUGUAAUUGUAGACGUUGUACGUAUAAAAUGUACGUACAAUUACCCAAUAGUUUAUUAUACAAAGUCAAGUAAUUAGAAAACGACAACAAGUUUAUGUAGUUUUACAAUACUUAAUAUAAAUCUGGUCUUUAAUAAUAAGAAGACUGGGGAAAACAAAUCCCCCUAACUAAAAAACGACAUGCUUGAUCUCUUCCACUUCCGGUGUGUCCGGAUCAGCAAAGACCUUUGACACAGGACCAUGACUCACAACCUUCGGAUUAGCUCUGUCGGUUAAACGCCAGAAGACGAGUGCGACAACAACAUUGCGCUGACCUAGACUCCGAAAGAAGGUUUGGAAUUCCAACGCCUGUUCAUUGUGUGCUUCGCAUUCCAAAACUUCGUUGCUACAUUAGAGUAAAAGAAGAAUCAAGUCAGCGUUUAGAUUAAAAAGUGUAAGUGAAUCAAAUGUCAAAAGAACAUUUACUAUCUAUCUUUGAUCUUCAAAGGAAGCUUGAGACCGUAGAAGUCUCCGGUCAAGUGGCCAACCUCCAACAACGCUCCAAUGACAUCUACAUCAAGGGCCAAAAAAAUAGAAAUAAACUUCUAAUUUCAAAAAUGUGUCCAUAAAACGUAACUUAAAAAACAUCUCACCGACUAAAACUUUCUUAUCAACUGUUUUCUCCAAAAUGUAGUCGAAUUGAGUGAAAUCGUAAAACGAUAUUGGGUCCAUUCGUAAGGCGUUAGUAACGACGGUCCGAUCCAUAAACCAUAUGCCGUAGUCAUGAGAUGUUGCUCUCACUGGGUCAGCGACGUUACGGACCAAGAAAGUGGUCACAAUUUUCCACUCAUUUUCUUUGAUUCGGUCUAUGUAAAAAGGAGCAAGGAGACGAUCAAUGGUGGCCUCGAUACGGGAAUGGGAUCCCUACAGAAUAUGAAAUAUAACAGAUUUAUAUAGAAUUGAACCUGACGUAUGAUAAAAAAACACAAACACGGCAUAGGGAAACUACCGAAUUAUCUGCCAAGAUAAGGCCGAGUUCAAAGACGUUGGGCGCAACAAACUUCUUAAACACUCUCACGACAAAUACACAAAUUGUCCACCCAGUGAUCUGAGGACACAAUUCGGAGAUGGUGUGAUACCCGUCUAUCACACGGUUAGCAAGAACAAUCGAAAGACUUUGUGUUUGAUUGAUGUAACUGCCGAAUGUGAAAGGGUUUUCGUUUGAAGGAACGUGGAUAAAAUUGAGGAGGAGAUGUGGCUUAAAUAAGGAAAUUUCGUAACGGACGCAGUGGGUAGUGCGAAAGUGUUCCAACGGUUGAGAUACAAAUGUGUGUAACCGUUUAAGAUUAUACGUACACAGACACAACAAAAACGUACAUUAACAAAAACGUACACUUAGAAAACGUACAUAGUUAUACGAUGGCAAACAUUAAACGUACGUACACCGUCACAACACUUUGGUACACACUGUCCACACAUAAACGUACACUAUCUUCGCGGAGACAUAAAGCUUAUGAGGAGAACUAAAUAGGAUUUUUGCAAGUCUUCUUGUUAUGACCUGCUUGUCUACAUCGUGUGCACUGAUUCGGAAUAAGUCUUUUCUGUCUCUUUUUCUGAAGUGACAACAACAAUAAGUUAAUAAUCUACGCAUCUUAUACUCAAAACAUAAUGUUGUGGGAUAUUUGAAAAAUUUGUACACGUUUGAAUGAUAGCACUUACCCGGUUUUCACCUCUAGAUGGAAUCCUUUUGGUUGUUGGUCUUCCUGGUGGUCGUCUACUGUAUGGAGGAAUUAGUAUCAAAUCCGAUAUAUGUUGUGGGAUGACAACAUCCUUCGGAUCCGCGAUAGGUAGAAUCGGUUCUUGAAAAGAAUCGGAAAACGUUUGAAGGCCAUACCACCAUCCGACAACAACCUUCGGAUCUAUUCCAAACUCGAUUGCAGCUGCUAGACCGUGUUCACAUGGGAUUCUCAACUUUGUGUACCUAAGACACGUACACGUACACUCGUCCAGAACGACAUGAAAAUGCUCACCUGACUUGCUUGUAACUUGAUAACUCCACGGUCCAGACAUCUUAACCGCGAAUUUCCCUGACGCAGGCAAAUCUUAGAGAAAACGCUCAUCAACCUCAGGCGUCACUAAAGACUUACACCUAGCCACUUUUUGCCUCCUCGCUGCGAACCAUCGCAUUAGGACCUCUCGAAUGAACUCUAUCAUGUACACAAUCGGAUAUGAUUUGGCUCUUGUUAAGACAUUAUUCAUAGACUCCGAGUUGUUGCUAGACAUGAUAUUGUAGCGUUCCCCUUUACAGUGAGCUCUUGUCCAAUGCUCAAAUCCAAUUUCCUCUAAGUAAUUUGCGCAUGCAGCACUCUUAGCCCUUAAUUGUUCGAAGUAUUUUUCAAAAUCUCUCACUCUUUAAGCUUUAGCAGCGCUGAAGAAUAAUCCAGAUACACCAUACUUACCAUAAUAGGUGGAGAUAUUUCGCUCAAGGUGUACUGCACAUGCACCAUGAUGAGCUUUCGGAUAAACCACACUGAUGCCUUUAUAUAUUGAAGAAUGUCUGUCUGAUACAAUCAUUAAAUCUUCACUGUCUGGAACAAUGUCAGCUAAUUUUUCAAAGAACCACACCCAUGAAGCGUCAGUCUCACCAUCCACAACACCAAACGCUAUUGGAAAUAUUUGGAAGUUCCCGUCUUGGGCACAUGCAAUGAGGAGACAUCCCUUGUAACGUCCUACUAGCUGCGUUCCAUCUACGACAAUUACCUUCCUCAUAUACUUCAGACCUUUUAUAGAAGCCCCGAGAGAUACAAAAACAUACUUAAAGCGCUGCGUACCAUCAGCUUCAGGUGUAGAGUGUAGGUGAGUUAUCGUACCCGGAUUAGCUAAUUUAAGAAGAUACAAAUAGGUAGGCAAAAACCUGUAACUUUUUAUAUCAUCCCCCCUUACAUUUUCCACUGCAACCUCUUUAGCUCUCCAAGCGGUAGAAUAUGAAAUCCGAACAUUGAGAUCAUUUAGGAGCAACUGUGGUAAAUCGACAGCUCUCGGACCCCCUUGCGUAGAACUGUAUCUGCUCUUCACUACCUCUCCGAGAAGCUUAUAACUAGCAUGUUUAUUAUAAUUCUUACGAGUGUCGAUGUCACACGUAUGGGUGGUAUCAUACGAUGUGAUUUUGAAACAUUCUGAAUUCUUGACAUCUUGAGCUGUCAAAUGCCAUGGACAAGUAUAAUCAACGCAGACCAUCUCCAAUCUUGUAGGUCAUGACCUACGUUGCUUGUAGCAAAAGCAUUUUUUGAUUGCGAGAUAAGACAUUGUUUGUUGUAUGACUUUUCUGUUCUUAAAAACACUCCCAACAUACAAAGUCUCACCUGUCGUACUCAGUUCGACUUGUGUCUCAUCAUCUCGUAAAUUGGCUAAAUCAUCGAAUACCGGAGCAGCAUCAUUAUCGAGAAUCUCCAACUCGCCACCAUGUAAUGUAGAAAAGUCAUUAUACACUUCGUAAGCCUCAGCUGCGGUAACUAACCAAUUAUCAUUCAGUGCCCCACUUGCGGAAGCUCCAAUACCACGGUCGAUAGUGACUUCGUAUAUACCAUUAAUAUUGUUAUCCGUGUUACCUUCGCAGCCUGUAUCUUGUACACACUCUGUAGUGUACGUACAUUGGUACAAACCAUGUUGACACGUACGUCUUGGAGUCACGGUUGGUGUACGGUCACCCGAAUGAGAAAUGUUAUCUCCGCCAGGUGCAGUAAGUAGCCGAUUAUCAUUUAGUGUCCCACUUGGGGAAGCUCCAAUACCACGGUCGAUAACAUCAUCCCUAGAGACUUUGUUUAUACCAUUAAUAUUGGUAUCGGUGUUACCUUCGCAGCCUGUAUCUUGUACACAUUAUGUUGUGUACGUACAUUGGUACAAACCAUGUUGACACGUACGUCUUGGAGUCACCGAUGGUGUACGGUCAACCGAGUUAUCUCCCCCACGUACACGAUGACUUGUGUACGUACACUCUGCCAAUAGACGACUGAAUUCCCCUGGAUGUUGAACCGUUUGUUGAGUGAGAAUGACGUCCUCCUCAACAUUCCCUAUUCCAUAUUCUUCAAUAAUUACAUCGUUCCACUUGUUGUAAUCGUAAUCUUCGCCACUGCCUUCACUACCGUCUAUAGUAGGAUCGAGGGUACUUCCCCCCAUAGAUCCAUCAUCACCCUGAUAAUCAUCAUACCCAGCACCAUCUUUGUUGUCCUCCUCCUCUUCUUCAUCCUCAUCUGUUUUAUCGUCUUCAACGUCGUCUUGCUCAUCUACGGCCUCAUUAUUUCCAUCUACAUUUGAAGCCGCUACGAUGGGAUUUGGUGUCGUUGCACUCCCACACACACGGUAACUCUCACCAUCGGUCCUAGGGACAGUAUUCCCGAGUGCCUUGACGGUUGUAAUGAAAGAGACAAACAAGGUGACACUAGGAUCCCCACCACGAAUCAAAAAGAAGGUAUCCAAGCUCAUUUGAUUGUCAAUGUAGACAGGAGGGCGUUUACUUUCUAUCAUCACUGACAUCUUUCCCGGCAUCCAGUAACUAAUUAUUGGAUUGCAUUUGGUGGACUUCAAACUGAAAACCUCGCAUAAUGUACGUACAAAUGCCGUGUACGUCAUGUUUUGCCUAACACGUACACAACAACCAAACCAGCCUUCCCAUGGUUCAAAUUUCCAUUCUUCUUCUUUGCAUUUCCACUCACCCACCAUAGUAAAUACGGGAAUAUCCAUUACCCACCUGCAUCAUAAAUUCAGCAGAACCCCAUUAAAUGCAAAUGAAGCAUGAUUAUAUCUACAAAAAACAAAAAGAAUUCCCAACUACACACUUAUAAACAUAAAUCUAUCCUCAUUUAGCAAUUUCAACUAAAAAAAGUGGAAAUAAAAAUAUUCUGGGUUUUUAUAUAAAAACAAUGUUGAUCUUAGAACACAAUCAAGACCCUAGUGUGUUAAAACAAAAAACUUCUUAACCAAUUUCAUUACUUACACGUUCAAUGCUUGUCUUGGCUCCAAACUUUGUAAAUCAAGAAGAUCAAACCGAUGCAGAAUCACAUUCGUUCAGAAUAAUUUGUUUGUUUGAUGGAUCAUGUUUGUCUCUUAUAACUAUUCACACAUAUAAACUAAUAUUAUAAAAAGUAAUGAUGAAUUUUGCAUUAAUUGUGACAUGAGUCAUGUCUAAACUUUUUGGGCAUUAAAUACUGAUGUCUCAUUGUUUUUUAAUGUUAUUAAUCCCAAUUUGUCACUGUACUCCCGCACAAAUCAAUUAAGAACGAAAUAUAUUGCUUAACCGGAACAGUGUACGUAACUGAACCGCUUAACUGAACCGUACAGUGAACAGUACAUCGGUCCGUUGGUAGGGGUAAAAUGGUCAGAUUUUGGCUAAAUUGUCAAAACUUGAAAGCCAAUUCUCACUUUGCCAAAACAUGAAAUUAAAACUUGGUCUUAUGCCCUGCCAUGCAAUUUACCCAUAAAACAAAGCCAUCUUGACUUGUUAAGUAAAAAAAGUCUUCAAGACAGAUAAUUCAAUGGUUAUAUAUCAUUACUUGCUUCUUGCAGCGGUUAUGGAAUAAUCAAAACUACUUCUUGAAUGAGGUUGGUUAAAUUACGCAAAAUAUGACAUAUCAUAAAAAAAGACAUUGAAUGGCGACUGAAAUAAGUCUAAGAGCUCCUUCGUUUCUAAAUUUAGAAACCAUAUACAACAUCUAUAUUCAACAUCCAAUAUUGUUUAAAACUGUAAACUCGUUUUUGUAUAUGAAUGUAAAUUUCUUCAUAUUUGAGUUUGUAGAAAAAUACAAGUACUAUAUAUACCAAAACGGCUUAACAAGGGUUCUUUUUUUUUUUUUGAAAAUCAUGUAAAUUAUCAUUAAGAAACGAAAGAGUUUGUAACAAGUUACAAAAAAAUGGCUUAACCAGCCAAGAGGAGAAACCUUGCCAAAAAGAAUUAAAAACAAGGAUAUAUUUUGCAUGUCAGAGUAGGAAUUAGCAAGCUAAAGCUGCAUUAUUAAUUAGGAAAAUCCUAACAAGGUAUUUCUUACGUUCAUGAUUUCUUGCAUGACUAUGAUCUCGUCAAAUAUGGAAUUAUCACAAGGCCUGCUUCUUGAAUAUGGCUGCCAGAGCAUCUCCAAUGGUGAGAACCACAUGAGAGGUUCUCACCAUUUUUUAAGAAUAAAUUUUGCUUUUAUCAAACUUAAAAACUUGAAUAAGAGUUGUUUAAAUUUUGUCUCCUCCAAUGGUUGGGUUCUUAAGAAAAAAUUUAAAAUUUGCAAAAUAAUACAUAUAUUUUUGUUUGGUUACAAAAAGAAAAAAAUGUAGCAGGAGCUGAAGUACUUGUCUUUCCAAUCCAAGACAAAAGCUCAUCCUAGUUCGUGUCUCCUGCUUGAUUAUGGUCUUUCUUUCUUCUGCUCCCUGUUCAAAAAAUCGGGCACCUAGCCGAUUAAUCGGCCGACUAGGCGCUCGGCGGAGGCAUACCGCCACGAUUUUGUCCAAGUCGGACACAUUAAUCGUCGAACUGAUUUUUCGGCCGAUUAAAUGACUUGGGCGUUGAAAUCGCCGAAUUAUUGUAAAAAUUCAAACUAAUUUCGGCCCAGACAAAAGAUGGGAUGGGCUGUAAAUUACUGAGCCCACUUUAACUAAUUAUUUUAAAGACGAGAGCAAACUAUUUAUAAGGAAACAUCACCAACUACUUCUUCUCAAAGUUUCGAUGUGGGAUGUUCAUGUUUUGGGUAGGACUUAAUAACUUUUUUAAAAAUAUCAAUUAAAUUCGGAAUUAAUUGUAGGCGCAUUUAUUCCCAUGACAACUAAUCAAGCUUGCCAGAUUUAUCCGAAUUAAAUAUCAAGUAAUUAAACAUCAAAUAACUUAUAUUAAGAAAAUAUCAAUUAGAUUUCUAAUUAAUUUAAAUAUCAAGUAAACAUAUGAUUUAGAUCCUUCAAAUAAAAAUUUAUGAUAAUACAUCAUUUCCAUGUAAUUAUUUGUAAUAUAACAUUAUAUAUUUUGUUUUUAUAUUAAAUAAAUAAUAUAAUAUUAAAAUUAAUCCCCGAUUAAUCCCCGAUUAAAUCCCGAAUAAUUGGCUAGGCGCUAGGCCCACCUCCACCGCCCGAUUAACGUCUAGCGAUUUUUUGAACAAGGCUUCUGCUAGUUGAAACAUGAUUUGAUUUUCUUUUAACUGUUAGAAGAAGACAAGCAGUCAACAUAUUGAAUCCGUUAGUUAAAGUGGAUUACCUUAUCUUGAAGUCCUCUGCAUAUGUGUUCUCUAGGAGUGAGGCGUAGCUGUAAAGACUGCACAUUGUCCUGCAGCUUCUUUGUUUUCUUUUCCUCUUGUUUCAGCUUCUCGGUCUGUUAUAAAAGAGAACAAAAAAUGAAAUCACCGUAAGAUAUGUUAAAGUGUUGUUUUAAUGUUUUAUAGACCUUGAUCAUGUGAACAGAUUCUCUGCAUUUAUCUGUUUUGGUGCUAGAAUUUGCAUUUGUUUUUUGUAAAUCAUUAGAAAGCAUUUGAGAUAUGAGAGACUUAGAACAAACUCACCAACACGUAAGCCGAAGUCUGCAUAACAAUAGCUCCUUCACCAGCAGGCUAGGAAGUUUUUAAACACCGAGCAACUAACCAAUUCUCAUGAAUCGAUGUUAUUAUGUUUGCAAAUUCAAAAUUAAGCCUCAAGAACUCUUAUCUAAAUCAUAUAUAGAAGCAUACAUCAAAGUUUAUGAAUUAGCUUACAUUGUUGAUAAGAGACGAGAAUGUCUUGUAGGAUCAUAGUUAAUCAAAAUAGCAGCCUUUAAUGGAUUGUAUGAACAAAUUUUAACAAUCAAAUCACCAAAAAGAAUUCUUUUUUUUUUUUUUUUCUGGGUUCUUCUUCUUUUCAAAAUCUUCCCAAACAAGAAGAAGAAAACAAAAACCUAAUCGAGAGAUAAACGUAAAUCGGAGAACUUACCGGAAGAACCGAUGUUACCCGUAGUAUCCCAUUCGUCCCAAGCUCUGUCCACAAACGCCGAAUCCAUCGAUGCGUUUCAAAUUUUUUAAUAAAGCAAUGAUUUUUAGGGUUCUUCACUUUCACACUUAAACCAGAGAAAUCAGAGAAACAACGGGAUCGGAGAAACCACAAUUUCACACUAAUUUUACUCCCAAACAACGGAAUCGGAGAAAUCUCUGUUGCUUGAUAGCCAUCGUCAGCGAAGAAGAGAGAUGGACAAGCGUGUUUUUUUUUUCUUGUUUUGUUAAAAAUCAUCGGCCAAUCAAGGCAUGACACAUAAGCGUCUCUCGGUUCGAAGGAACCAACAUUAAAUUUAGAACUCUUAGCUAAUCAAUCUUACUUUCAAGAGAGCUGGUUCCCAAAACUCUUUCAAGAGAGCUAGUUCUCAUGAUCAGUGGCGGAUCUAGAACUUCUUUCUAUAUGGGGCACCAUUAUUUACUUAUAAAUUAUGUAUAAAUAAAAUAUGUACUAUAACAUUGCUAAAAAUGUUACAUGUACUAAUUUUUUGUAAAUUUUGUAUUGAUUUUGAAUUUUAUUUUUAAAUUAUAAGAAUGACUAUUUUGUAUAAAUUUUUACUUGCACAUAUAUAGCCAUUAAGAAAAGAAAAGAAGACUAAAUUUAGGGAAAUAAAUAUACAAUUAGUAUUGAUGGUGGGAUAAUGGUAUUAUAGAAAAGGAAACAAAAAGUUUUGUUGAAAGGAAAUAAGCGUUUAGUGCAAAGUUAAAAAGUAAAAUUACAUGAAGUAAAAGAAACGAACAAUAAGAAAGAAGAUAGGAAGUGAAUCAAAAGUUUAUUUAGCCUAAGGCACGAGAGAAAAUUAGUCUGAUUUUGCCAUGUAACAAUCGAAUAAUUAUAACUAAAACCAGAAAAUUUUUAAUAGUAGUGUGGGGCACGUGCCCAUGUAGGCUUGCACCUAGAUCCGCCCCUGCUCAUGAUAAUUAUGUAUUUUGAUUUCUUUUAAUUCACAUAAAAUCAGAGAACCCCAUCCUAAAUCCACUAAAACCCCCCAUUGGAGAUGCUCAGGUCCUCUCAAAUCAAAUUGAACUAUUAUUAAUUUUGUCCAUACAUCAAUAUUUUCAGAGUAUUCCCUCGAAUUGCUUCUUAUUUGAUUUUGUCAUUGUUGAACUACUUUUCAUGUUUUUUUAUACGUAAUUAAAUUUGAAUGAAGUGAAAAACAAGAAUGAAAACUUUUUGUUUUGAUUCAAUUGUUUUUUUUGUUAUAGCUCAGAGUAAAUCUCUAGGCGAAUAAAAGGGUCUAGGACUAAUCUCUGUAGAGUGGAUAUUUUUAUGGUUACUCAAACCUACUUAUGAAAGACCAUGGCCCGUAACACGAUCCUUCCCCUUGUUGCUCGUCAGCGGUUAAUGUCAUGUAUAUGAACUCGUCGGUCCAUUACAAUCCAACCUCUCCAAGUAUCCUUCUCAUAUUCUUUAGUUUUCUUUUCUCAUAUACAUAUACAUAAUCAUUUUUUAUAAUUUAAUAUACGUUAAACAUGAUAUCAAAUCAUGUCACUAAUGCAUUUCACAUAUCAUGUUACUAACGACCUAACUUUAUCAUACACACAAAUUCACAUAAAUCAACAAAAACAAUUCUCGAGCCUAUCAAAGAGUAUAUAAGGAAAAAGAUUACUACAUAUCUGCAAAUACCAUUUUCACCUUAGCCUAACGAUUGAAUUCAUUGGUUUAAGACUGCCAACAACAAGAACCCGCUUCAACAACGAUCUCAAUCUGCAACGGCUUAAAUUAAUCAAUCAGAGACUAAAUCCCUUUAAUAAUCUCUGAUUUAAUCUAAUAAUCCAAACCAAAAUUCUAGUCUCGAUUAAUUUGAUUUGGUAUAAUUCCAAUUAAAUUAAUCAGACUUGGUUAAGUAAUUAAAUCAACCAAAAUAUCUAAUAAUUUAAUAAUACCAUAAAUAAUCCAAGUUCACAAUGUUCCGGUUCAAUAAUCCCAAUUCAUCACAAUCGUACAACACCACAAUUCCACACGUGACCAUAAUACGUUACCACCUUAACAUCCGGUUCAGAGAUUCAACCAACCCAAUCUAAUAACUCAGUAGCCACCACGUAACCUCUUAACACCACAUUCACGUGAAUACGAUUUCUAGUUUCGGUUCUAGUCUUUAAUUACACAGUACCGGUUUAGAUCGGUUUAGAUCGGUUUAGGUGUUGGGUCAAUAAUCAACAAACACAACAAUAACAAAACGAGACAAGGUGCAGCGCCAAUUACCUUUUCUCGAUGUUUACUCUCGGCGGAUAUCCUCGACCGCUCAACAAGGAGAUUCAAACUCAGGGUGGUUACUUCCUCAUGGCUCAACAAUUAAAAUCAAUUCAAAGCAACAAAUUAUAAGAUAAAGCCAGAAACUUCAUGCACAAGUUACAUAAAUAUCUCUAGGGUUUCCUUACCCUUAGUGGCUUAGACAAUGGACUACGACUGCUUCGGGGACAGCGGCUAGCAAUCGGUGGUGGUCGCAAACUCAGGUGACACACGGUAGCUGUGGUUGUGGUGAACGGCGGUGGUUGAUGGUGAUGACUGAUGAACAGCGGUAGUUCGUGUCUUCUUCCUCAUGAUCCGCUUCUUAUCUUUCCUCAUUGUCUCGUGAAUCUACGAAUUUGGCAAUAAAACAAGACUAUGUAGUUUUAAGUUUUAACAUACAUUUUUUUGGCAGUGUUUGUUGUUGUAGAGUGUAUACCCUUAUAUUUUAGCAAAGCAUCCGUGGAAAAAUUUUCCGAUUCCAAAAAUUUCUGUUUCUGAAUAACGGGAUGGAGUUUCUAUGCAACAUAGAUCAAAAUUACUUUCCAAACUAAUAUUAAUGAAUUUUAGUUAUUAUUACAAUAAUUUGAUUUUUUACAUACAUAAAUGAGAAACAAUUAACAAAUAAAAUCACAAAAUUUUAUAUUCUCAGUUUGAGAACCUUAAUAGUCAAGUUUUAUCUUUUUAGCGGAAUAAUUUCAUGACUCUGAAAAAUUAACUAUUUCAUGCUAAAACAACAUGGUACAGCCACUUUAAUGUCAAAACUAGAUUCUGACCCGCACAUACGUGCGAGAUCUCUAUACUAUUAAAAGAGAAGUACAAAUGAAAAUGGGUCGGGUUAAAAUCAGAAAAAUGACCCGAAAUUCUGAAAUCGGAUCUUUGAAAUGUUUUUUAAAUAUAAAUUCGAAUUAAAAAUGAAAAAUCGAAAUAAAAUCAAAUAUUUAUGGAAAUCAAAUAAAAUCUGAUUGUACUUAUGGUAACUAAUAAUAAAAGCAUAUUCCGAACAAUAUUAUACAUUAAUUACGUAUAAUAAAUUUGUUCAUAUAUUUUUGGGACUAAUUCCAUAACAAUCAACGUUUUUGUCAUUAAUUUCGCUCAUUUUAGCCAAUUAUCAUUAAUUGAAAGAUAUUUUAUUUGUUUCUAAAGAUUUCUAGAAAAUUUAUCACAAAUAACCCAUCUGUUUUAUAAAUUAAAUUGAUAUUUUUAUUUUGGUCAUAUAAAUUAAAUAGAUAUUUUUAUUUUGGUCGUGUAAAUUAAAUAGAUAUGAAAUCCAUGUAACUAAUUUUAAUUUAAUUAGAUUAAAUCGAAAUUAUGAUAUUUUCAUACCUAUAGCUUACCAAAGAAGUUUAAUUUUCAAUUUAUAAAGAUUUUUUGAAUAUGAUUUUGGAAUUAUUCAACAAGAUGAUAAGUAUUUAUUAAUUUUUGUGAAUCAUGAAAAAUAAUAAUUAAUUUUUAAUCAUUAUACUUCAUCUUUCAAUCUCUCAUCUAACAAAUAAGAUACAUAUUCUAUUAUUACUAUGUCCAAACUUCAUUUUGUUGUAUGACUAAAUAAUAUUCCCAUUAGAACUGUCAAAGCGAGUUGAUUCGUCCCGUUAAGUCCGUUUUGCGAUAGACAAAAAAUAUUUUGACUUGUGUUAGUCGGUCCGCACGACCUGCGGGUAGCAUAUAUGAAAUACAAACCCGUCCCGCAAAUGUAUGCGGAUUUGCGGGAUUGUCCAUGGAUUUUGUUUAAAUAAUUUUAAAGUAACCAAAAUUUAAAAUACUACUAAAAUAAAAAUAAAUAAAAAUACUAUUAAAAGUUUGUUUAAAUUACCACAUGUUGAAUAAAUUAUAAUUUUAUCAAUAAAUACUAAUAUGCGGGCUGAUCCGCCAACCCGCGGAUGAAAACCGAUUAAACCUAUGACCCACUGCGAAUUAAUCCAUGUGGCCCGCUUAUUUGCGGGUUUAAUAUAUUUUCCCAAAUCUGCCCUAUAGUGAGAUGAUGUGGGCUCGACCCGCGAUUUUUGACCUAUUUUGACUGCUCUAAUUCCCAUGAAUCGUCUAAUUUUAGAAUUUUAAAACACAAAAUUCUAUUUUGUAAAUCAUAAUUAAUAUGAUGGAUAUAUUUAUAAACAAUUUUACAUUUUCUCUACAAUUCGUUAUUAUGAAUACUUAUAAGUAUACUACACGAUUCGUUCUACUAAAAAACACACACAAUAUUAAACGCAACGUAUGUAAACCAAUAUUCUCCCGCGGUGGACCGCGGGUCCGAUCCUAGUUUCAUAUUUUAAAAAAUGUGUUCUAAUAAAAUUUAAUUCAAUAUAGAUUAUUUUGUUGUUUUGAUAAUAUAUAUAUCCCAUCACAUAACUGUUUCCUUUAAAAUAAUUACCUAUCUGGGAAUGUUUAAUUUAGUUCAAUAGAUAUGAGAAUGGGUAAGCGAUUUAGAUGGAAUACCCGUAUUUUCCAUACUUUUCCUUUCGAGAUUUAAUUUUUACAAAAUAAAUAUUUAUCCAAUUUUUUUUUUAUUUCUUAAACACUCUCUAAUUGUUUAAAACGCUACUGCAGGGUUAUAUUUGAACAACUAUUUAUUUGAUAUACUAUUCAUAAUUUGACAAACUUACGAAAGAGAUUUUCUAAUUCAUAUCUAUAGAACACAACAUAAAAACAUUAUUCACCCGCCGUCUAUAUAAACAAUGUUUUGUUUUCUCUAGUUGAAAAAAGCUUCAUGGUUUUAAAGACUCAAACACUGAAAAUAAUAAAAACAUCAAAUACUAAUCCAACUAUUAUUCUAUUUUUUUUUAUUAUCUCUUUUCAGACAGUAGUAACAUGAUAUUUUCUAUUUUUUUUAUUUUUCUUUUCAGACAGUAGUAACAUGAUAUUUUCUGUUUGGAUUAUCUAUUAAUAAGUUCAAACUUAGACAUCAUGAACUAUUUUUGAUAAUCAAUUUUUCAGUAUUUCGUUUGCGUAUGUCAAACGUAUAAAAUAUAAUAAAAACCGUUUUCCUUAUUAAAAGUUGUAAUAACGUGAAUCUAGAGACACAAUCAAGAUUUGAAAUAUGGUUAAAAUCUCUAAUGUUUAAAUAUUGAUUUGUUUUGUUUGAUUGCUGGAAUUUAAUUAGAACACAAAUUAUAUGAAAAUAAAUUUACAAUUUCAUAAGAUGUAGAUAUCUACACCUUACGCUAUAUGUGUAAUGUGUGGAUGAGAUACACAAACGAAAUACUGAUGGAGACAAGUGUUAAAGAGAUCUCCAAUGAUGUACAAUUAUAGCCGUUCGCCAGGAUUCUACGCACAGAGGGAAGUGUCGUCAGGUCGUGGAUCAUUGAAGGUGGAAGUGUAGUCCGUCGCAGAUCUAAUAAGGGUCGGAAGGAAUUGUCUGUUGUAGAAUCAUCUAUGUAACAGUUCUCAUAAUUUGCAAUAAAUAAUAAAUCCAGAUAGGCCUGGGCAUAUGGGUAACCCGUUCGGGUUCGGGUAAAACCCGUUCGGGUUCGGGUUGAAUGGGUAAUGAAUUUAUGGUCCAUUCGGGUAUUUCUAUGGUUUCGGUUCCGGUCCGGUUUGGGUAUUGUCGGGUUCGGGUCGGUUUGGGUAAUACCCGAAGUUUAAAAUAUCUUUACAUACUCAAAUGAUCAAAUAAAGAGAAUAGAACAUCAAACAUGACAUUUAAAUACUAAAUCCAAUCCAAAAUAACAAAGAUGACUAUUUUACUCUUAAGUGUUAAGAGUAGAUUCUUAUUAUCUAUAUACAUAUAUAAACAUAUGUGUAUUGCAUAUAUAUAAGUAUAUAUAUAAGUAUAUAACUAUAUAAGGUUAUAUAUCUAAUUAUCUAUAUAUAUAUAUAAACUCAAACGUCAAAAAUCACAAAACCUAAAACCUAGGACAUACAUAUAAGUAUAUAACUAUAUAAGACUAUAUAUCUAAUUAUCUAUAUACAUAUAUAAACAUGUGUAUUUAUUCGGGUUUGUGGGUACCCUAAAUGGGUAACGGGUAAUCCCCGACCCGAUCCGAUACCCACGGGUAAUCCAAUACUCUACCCAAUGAGGUAAUUUUCUAAUACCCUAACCCGCCCCAACCCGAUUUUUUCGGUCCGGGUAUCGGUUCGGGUAUCGGGUCCGGGUUUUUUGCCCAGGCCUAAAUCCAAACGUAAAAAAAAAAAGUAAUGUUAAUAUAAAGGAGCAAGUAAUAACCUUGCAUCGUGUUUGGUGAGAGUAGAUGUUACUAAUAAGGUUUUAUAAUGUUUUCAGAAGGUGUAGGGUUUCGGUGUAGUGAAUAGAGCAAGUAUUUGAUAUCUUUGGAAAUCUUGAAAUCGUUACAAACAAAGAAUAUGCUACAUGGAUAUUAAACCAGAUAAGGAUAAAAUCAAUUAGUUAUGAGACAUUUCCAAAUCUUUUAGUUGGAUUGAAUAUCCAAUUUAUAUAGUUUAUUUUAUUUAGGAAACAAAUAUGAUUUGCAAUAAACUCCUUAACACUUUAAUAAGAAACCAUUUGUACCAGAAAAGAUUUGUUAGUUAUAAAUACAUUUACGAUUGAUAUCUUUCUAAAAUGCCCCUUUUUCAAUACCCCUUUUCAAAAAUACUCCCUUUGAGAGUCCAUUUUUAAGUUUGCCCUCUUUUAAUUGUUAGUGACCAUUUUACCCUUAUUUGAAACAAAAUUAGGUCCACAAAAUACAAAAUAUUUUUUAGCGGAAAAAGUGAUCCCGCAAUUUUCCCGCCAAAACACUUGUAAAAACCUUUAAAAUACCUUGUAAAAUUAUCCCGUAAAAAUUUUUCCCGCCAAAAAUUUUUUUUUGCGGGAAAAGUGAUUCCGCAAUUUUUUUGGCGAAAUGUUUUUGGCGGAAAAAAUUUACAAGAUAUUUUAAAGUUUUUACGGAGUAUUUACAAGUGUUUUGUAAGGUUUUACAAUGUAUUUUAAAAGAGUUUUACAAGGUACUUAUAAGGUUUUAUAAAAUAUUUAUAACUUGUAAAACCUUAUAAAAAANNNNNNNNNNNNNNNNNNNNNNNNNNNNNNNNNNNNNNNNNNNNNNNNNNNNNNNNNNNNNNNNNNNNNNNNNNNNNNNNNNNNNNNNNNNNNNNNNNNNNNNNNNNNNNNNNNNNNNNNNNNNNNNNNNNNNNNNNNNNNNNNNNNNNNNNNNNNNNNNNNNNNNNNNNNNNNNNNNNNNNNNNNNNNNNNNNNNNNNNNNNNNNNNNNNNNNNNNNNNNNNNNNNNNNNNNNNNNNNNNNNNNNNNNNNNNNNNNNNNNNNNNNNNNNNNNNNNNNNNNNNNNNNNNNNNNNNNNNNNNNNNNNNNNNNNNNNNNNNNNNNNNNNNNNNNNNNNNNNNNNNNNNNNNNNNNNNNNNNNNNNNNNNNNNNNNNNNNNNNNNNNNNNNNNNNNNNNNNNNNNNNNNNNNNNNNNNNNNNNNNNNNNNNNNNNNNNNNNNNNNNNNNNNNNNNNNNNNNNNNNNNNNNNNNNNNNNNNNNNNNNNNNNNNNNNNNNNNNNNNNNNNNNNNNNNNNNNNNNNNNNNNNNNNNNNNNNNNNNNNNNNNNNNNNNNNNNNNNNNNNNNNNNNNNNNNNNNNNNNNNNNNNNNNNNNNNNNNNNNNNNNNNNNNNNNNNNNNNNNNNNNNNNNNNNNNNNNNNNNNNNNNNNNNNNNNNNNNNNNNNNNNNNNNNNNNNNNNNNNNNNNNNNNNNNNNNNNNNNNNNNNNNNNNNNNNNNNNNNNNNNNNNNNNNNNNNNNNNNNNNNNNNNNNNNNNNNNNNNNNNNNNNNNNNNNNNNNNNNNNNNNNNNNNNNNNNNNNNNNNNNNNNNNNNNNNNNNNNNNNNNNNNNNNNNNNNNNNNNNNNNNNNNNNNNNNNNNNNNNNNNNNNNNNNNNNNNNNNNNNNNNNNNNNNNNNNNNNNNNNNNNNNNNNNNNNNNNNNNNNNNNNNNNNNNNNNNNNNNNNNNNNNNNNNNNNNNNNNNNNNNNNNNNNNNNNNNNNNNNNNNNNNNNNNNNNNNNNNNNNNNNNNNNNNNNNNNNNNNNNNNNNNNNNNNNNNNNNNNNNNNNNNNNNNNNNNNNNNNNNNNNNNNNNNNNNNNNNNNNNNNNNNNNNNNNNNNNNNNNNUUACGGAGUAUUUACAAGUGUAAUGUAUUUUUAAAGGGUAUACAAGGUAAUUAUACGGUGCUUUAAAAGAUUUUUCAUUAUUAUCCCCCCUGUAGUAAAAAGGUAGCACGUGAUAAGUUGGCAUGCCUGCAGAUCGGUUUUACAGGAUACAAGAAAUGAGUAAAUUUGAUAAUAUAUUUUAAAUACCUUAUUAAUACGUUGUAAAACGUUUUAAAAUACAUUGUAAAACCUUAUAAAUACCCUGUAAAAAACCUUUAAAAUACCUUGUAAAUUUUUCCCGCCAAAAAUUUAACGCAAAAAAAAUUGCGGAAUCACUUUUCCCGCAAAAAAAAAUUUUUGGCGGGAAAAAAUUUUACGAGAAAAUUUUACAAGGUAUUUUAAAGGUUUUACAAGUUUUUACAAGUGUUUUGGCGGGAAAAAUUGCGGGAUCACUUUUCCCGCCAAAAAAUAUUUUAUAUUUUGUGGACCUAAUUUUGUUAUAUUUCCUUAUAUAUUUGUGAUAUCUUUUAUUAAAAGAAGGGUAAUUUAGUCAUUUUGUACAUAAAAGGGGUAUUUUUAAAAAUGGACAGCCAAAUGGGGCAUUUUUGAAAAGGGGUAUUGAAAAAGGGGCAUUUUUGUGAGUCUCCCUUGUUUAAAUAUGGCAUGUUAUAUAGAAUAUUAGUUAUUUAUAGAAAUAUACGGUUUUGUACUGUAAUAUGUUGACCCCGGUAAAAAAAAAUUCCGGGUCCAUAACUAUAAAUAUCUAAAUUAUUAAAUAUGGAAUAUCCGGUGUAUAAGUUGGGUUAACUAUAACCCAACCCAACAAACUUUUUAUGACCAAAAUUUGUAAACGGAUCGGGUAUCCAAAGUAUCCGAGAAAAAUUUGACCCAUCCGACUCAAAAGUGACUGCAAAAAUACUAGUAUAAACUAGAUUUUAACCCGCGGUACACCGCGGGAUGAUUUAAUUUUAAAGUUAGUAUACAAAUAUUUUGUAAAUUGUAUCUCCUUAUAACAUAUUUAUUUAUAUUAUAGUUUAUAAUUGUUAUUAAGUAACGGUAUACCACGAGUCCACGAGAUAAUUAUUAAUAAACUGAGGAUUUAAUCUGUAUUAAAGCGGUAUAUAAAUAUUGAUUCAAAUUCGUCCGCCAUAUAAAUCAUUUCCGAAAUAUAACCCGUUCCGUAGUUUCUUAACCCGUACUGUGAUUUGUAUUAAAAAGAAUAAGGAUUAAAUCCGUAUUGAAGCGGCGGAUUAAUGAUAUUUUAAUCUUUUUAUUAUUGUUGAUUCAAAAACCCGUCCCGCCAAACCCAUCCCGCCAAAAAACUCAUUUAUUUUAUUAAUGUUCUUAUUUAUGAUAUGAUUCUGAAUCAUUGUCUAAAUAUUUUAAUCGAUGUAGAACGUUGAACACACAUUUUCGUCAAUUGGAUAAUAUAUGUCCGUUUUUAAAAUUUCGAAUCACAGUAUAUGCAGAAAAAAAAUUGAUUUUUUUUACUUUAUGUAUUAUAUAAUGAUUCAAAACAGUUAAAAACAAAUCAAACAAAGAUGAUAGGAGAAUCAUAAUUAUAAAUCUUAAUCAAAUCUUCUAAAAAUCUAAAUUAUUAAAUAUGGAAUAUCCGGUGUAUGAGUUGGGUUAAAUAUAACCCGACCCAACAAAUUUUUUGUGAAGGAAUUUUUAAAAUGGGUCGGAUAUCCGAUAUACCCGAAAGCUUUUUUACCCACCCGUCACAAAAAGUGCUGCGAUUAUACUAGUAUAGAUGAUGCAUAUUCAAUAUUUGGAAACUUAGAGUAAAUUUUGGCUAUUUUUAUGAAAACACUAAUAUAUAUAUAUACAAAUUUACAUGAUUAUUAACUUAUGAUAUUAUUGGGAACAUAUUUUUAUAUAGGGAUUUCAAAAAAAUUAUUAUCUUAUUAUCUUAUCGAAUUUAGUUAAUUUUUACAUUGGCCCGACUCCGGACCGGUAAAAUUUAUUAAUUUAUCGUGUUUAUUAAUUUAAAGAAUAUUAAUUUAUAGAGAUUCUAUUAUAGAUUGCUUAGGUAAUCUUUGAAAUACCCGUAAUUAAUUGAAUUAUUAUGAUCUUAUUGUUUAGGUAAUAUUUGAAAACCCGGUUUGAUUACCAUUGACCCGCGUGAUUAAAAUGAAUGACAUGCAUGGAUUUAUUAUGUUUGUGAUUAGAGAUUUGUAAAAGAAAGAUUAAAUGAAUGACGUGGAAUAAAUAUGGUAUGAUUAUAAAUUUGUAAUGGCAUAUAUUGUAAUUUCUUACAAAACUUUAUGUUAUAACUUAUAGAUAUACUUCCCAAAUAAUAGUAUAUGAUAUGAUGAAACAACGUUGGCGAAAAAAUGCGGUCCAAAUAUACAAACUCAAAUACGAACAAAGCAUACUUCUAUUAUUUUUUCGGAUUUAAAACCCUUAACACUUUAGUAAAAAAUUCUAGUUAUGAAGAUAUAUUAUAAAGACGCCAGCAUCGUGACCGUAAGCAGCCACGAAAUAUGUAAUGGAGAACAGAAAUGCCUAAAGAUUUUUUUAGAUUUUCGUUUGGUUUUAGAGGCCUUUAACUUAUUUGUAUUAUUUAAUAAAUAUUGAUAUACAUACCGCAUAUGAUGCUUCUUAUUGAAAUAUAUAUUCACGUCCUUUAUGCAGGUCCGUGUGUUAUAUAUAUAUGUGUGUAUAUGUAACAUGAUCACACAUUAGUAAGGCUUCUGGUUCGCAUAAUUCCCCGGAGGAUCAUAAUUGCAACUGAUGAUGGUUCCACCACCAUUGUUACACCUCACUUUAGCAC